rnacentral:lncRNA from 1 species
AUUUGAUAUUGAUGUAAACGUCAGAGUGGUAUUAUACAUUGAAACUCAUUGCUAAUUGUCAGAAUAUUAAUAAACAAAUCAUGUUUACAAGGAUCAAGAUAUGUAACUAAAAAAUAAAAACACAAAAAUACUGAACUCCGAGGAAAAAUCAAAACGGAAAGUCCCUUAUCAAAUGACAAAAUCAAAUUAUUAAACACAUCAAUCGAAUGGACUACAACAUUCAUGUUCCUGACUUGGUAUAGGCAUUUUAAAAUGUAGAAACAGUUAUCGAAGGUAACUAUAUUAUGCAUGGUAGAAAAUGGCUGGUUUUAAAGCGCUUAACCUCUCACUUGUUGAUAGUCA